rnacentral:rRNA from 1 species
UACGUAGGGGGCUAGCGUUGUUCGGAUUCAUUGGGCGUAAAGGGCAUGUAGGCGGUUGUGCAAGUGUGGAUUUAAAGACAGAGGCUUAACCUUUAGUUUGGUCUGCAAACUGCAUAACUAGAGUAUGGGAUGGGAAACUGGAAUUCCACGUGUAGGGGUGAAAUCUGUAGAGAUGUGGAAGAAUACCUGUGGCGAAAGCGAGUUUCUGGCCUGUAACUGACGCUGAUAUGCGAAAGUGUGGGGAGCAAACAGGAUUAGAUACCCUGGUAGUCCACACCGUAAACGUUGUACACUAGGUGUUAGUGGAUUAAUCUACUAGUGCCGUAGCUAACGCGAUAAGUGUACCGCCUGGGGAGUAUGCUCGCAAGGGUGAA